rnacentral:rRNA from 1 species
UGCCAGACUCCUACGGGAGGCAGCAGUGAGGAAUAUUGGUCAAUGGGCGAGAGCCUGAACCAGCCAAGUCGCGUGAAGGAUGACGGCCCUACGGGUUGUAAACUUCUUUUGUCAGGGAGCAAUUGGGUCCACGCGUGGGCUUAGCGAGAGUACCUGAAGAAAAAGCAUCGGCUAACUCCGUGCCAGCAGCCGCGGUAAUACGUAGGGGGCAAGCGUUAUCCGGAUUUACUGGGUGUAAAGGGAGCGUAGACGGCAGCGCAAGUCUGAAGUGAAAUGCCGGGGCUUAACCCCGGAACUGCUUUGGAAACUGUGCAGCUAGAGUGCAGGAGAGGUAAGUGGAAUUCCUAGUGUAGCGGUGAAAUGCGUAGAUAUUAGGAGGAACACCAGUGGCGAAGGCGGCUUGCUGGACGAUGACUGACGUUGAGGCUCGAAAGCGUGGGGAGCAAACAGGAUUAGAUACCCUAGUAC